CGUUGAGUGAUACUCGGGUUUACUUGAAAUAUAUGAAAAGCAUAACUAUUAGGUUUUACCAACUCGUUAUUCUAAUCUACAAGUUUGACCUCAAAUCAGGUAGGACUACCCGCUGAACUUAAGCAUAUCAAUAAGCGGAGGAAAAGAAACCAACCGGGAUUGCCUCAGUAACGGCGAGUGAAGCGGCAAAAGCUCAAAUUUGAAAUCUGCGUAAGCCGAGUUGUAAUUUGAAGAUGGCUACUUUGGUAAUGGCUCUUGUCUAUGUUCCUUGGAACAGGACGUCACAGAGGGUGAGAAUCCCGUGCGAUGAGAUGUCCAUUACCGUGUAAAGUGCUUUCGAAGAGUCGAGUUGUUUGGGAAUGCAGCUCUAAGUGGGUGGUAAAUUCCAUCUAAAGCUAAAUAUUGGCGAGAGACCGAUAGCGAACAAGUACAGUGAUGGAAAGAUGAAAAGAACUUUGAAAAGAGAGUGAAAAAGUACGUGAAAUUGUUGAAAGGGAAGGGCUUGAGAUCAGACUUGGUAUUUUGUAUGGCUUGCUUUCGGGCGGGUCCUCUGCAGUUUACUGGGCCAGCAUCGGUUUGGGUGGCAGGAUAAUAGCAUAGGAAUGUGGCUCUACUUCGGUGGAGUGUUAUAGCCUUUGUUGAUACUGCCUGCCUAAGACCGGAAGGACUGCGU
rnacentral:rRNA from 1 species